rnacentral:lncRNA from 1 species
CGGGAAAAAGUUAAGCAUCCACGGCGGCUUCUACGACUUCGUUGAGGGGUCCUUCCAGGUGUGGGACUUCGAGCUUAACGUUAGCCACUCGCAGAAGUUCUAGAUUGGUGCAGAUCGUGGAACCGACGAGCAACUUUUCGCGUGUACAUUUAGUAGAUAGUGCAGAUCGAUCGGGAACCGCAACCGUUGGGUGGCUCAAUAGCUCUGCAGGGGCAGGGUUCGAACAGAUGCAGAGGCUUCUGCUCUAGAAGUGGAC